UACGUAGGGUGCAAGCGUUGUCCGGAAUUAUUGGGCGUAAAGAGCUCGUAGGCGGUCUGUCGCGUCGGCUGUGAAAUCCCGAGGCUCAACCUCGGGUCUGCAGUCGAUACGGGCAAACUAGAGUAUUGCAGGGGAGACUGGAAUUCCUGGUGUAGCGGUGAAAUGCGCAGAUAUCAGGAGGAACACCGGUGGCGAAGGCGGUCUGCUGGGCAGUUUCUGACACUGAGGCGCGACAGCGUGGGGAGCAAACAGG
rnacentral:rRNA from 1 species